rnacentral:ncRNA from 2 species
ACCUGGGGUAGAGGUGCUGUAAUAAAGAGUAAUCAUAAGGAGUUGGCAGACGAUGAUUUAUGUUAAAAGGGAUUAUGGCCGAAGGAAUAAGUUAUUUGCAGUGAUUUAUUUCUGGGUAUUCAUAUAAUAUAUGGAUAACUGUCACGAAAAGUGUUGAGCUACAAGGUAC